CCUCCUACUAUAGAGAUACCCCUAUACCCUUCUAGACAACAAUAUAGACAGAUCCCCUCCUACUAUAGAGAUACCCCUAUACCCUUCUAGACUGCAGAUUGGUGACACAGUAACAGAUAUUCUUACCCAAAGCUAAAUUAAAAUGUAUUUUUUCAGAUGUCUGAGCCUUUCCAUGAUCUUGAUAAAACAGUUGAGUCGCCAUAUCAAUACCAGCGGGGUCCCUUUAGCUAGCCCAGAUCAGUUCCCAAUCUCAUAACUAGCUACCAAGAAGCCAUUUCAGGCUAUCAAUCAAGUUGGAGUAGCUAGCUUGUUUAACUAUCUUAGCUGGCAUGUCUGCUGGACUUUAGAAAAGUUAGUAAUAAUUAAAUGUACUUAGAAAGGAAUGUGAGUCUUAUUAUCUUUUACCCAGAUUUUAGCAGAGAUGCAGAAAUGCACAUUUAGUUUCUUAUAAAAAAAGAACCAGCAGACAGCUCAAGAGGUAUGCUUAGAUAUGCAGAAAAAUAUACAUAUUUUUGACAUAAGCAUAAUGAUUAUGGCUCUAGAUUGCAGGAAAAAGCUGUUUCAGGUGUUUCCAACCCCUGUACUUUGUGCCAACUCAGACUGGAGAAUUCUCCAACCCCCGUACUUUGUGCCAACUCAGACUGGAGAAUUCUCCAACCCCCGUACUUUGUGCCAACUCAGACUGGAGAAUUCUCCAACCCCUGUACUUUGUGCCAACUCAGACUGGAGAAUUCUCCAACCCCUGUACUUUGUGCCAACUCAGACUGGAGAAUUCUCCAACCCCUGUACUUUGUGUCAACUCAGACUGUGCGGGUGCAUAAUUUCCCUGGUUACAUGGUCUUUUCUCUUCAUUGGAAUUACGUAUUUACUACUUGAUUAUUAUAACUGUACAUAGACUUGAUUUACAUACUGUACACCUAGUAUUUAAGUCUGAUAAGAGAAAGGUGGGAGAUGUGGAAUGUGAUUUCUCUGUGUGUAAAGUCUGUUUUCUAACUGGCUAUAUUUACACUGCUAACAUCACCUGAAGGUACUCUCUGUGGUGCUGAAAUGGAUCCAUAGCUCCAGAUGACAAGAAUUAGAACAGUCUUUUCAUUCUGCACCAAAGGGCCGGCGACCCCUUGCUUCAGGGCGGGGCAGGUAGCCUAGUGGUUAGAGCGUUGGACUAGUAACCUAAAGGUUGCAAGAUUGAAUCCCUGAGCUGACAAGGUUAAAAUCUGUCGUUCUGCCUGUUCCUAGGCCGUCAUUGAAAAGAAGAAUUAGUUCUUAGCUGACGCCUAGUUAAAUAAAGGUAAAAUAAAAACUCUACACUCUUAGGUCAACUCAAAAGGUCUAACCCUCCUUUAACUAGAUCUAGCUCAGCAACUUUAAAAGGGCUCAGACAUGCCGAUAUAAUUCGCUGGCUGAGUACUUGGGGAACGUAAUUUGCGAAUAGUGCACGCACCGAGUCGGCUUGGAGAAUCGCGCGAAACAAUUUACCGAACGAUCGGCAGACGAACGCUAGAUCGCGAUGUUUGCGAGCCCUAAACCUCGUUUAGCUAUAAUAGAUCAAAACUCACUUAACCAACUCAAAGUUCUUCACACAUGUAGAAUGUGUCAUCAGUACUCCAUGAGACAGUGAGAAAAAUACUGUAUGUACACGUAGUUUGUAAACAUGCUUGUCAAUCAGUGGAGGCUGCUGAGGGAUGCCACCAACCUCAUGUGUUGUCAUUAUACGUCAAUGUGAAUAAACAGAAAACAUUAACCGUUUGAAGAUAUGAACUCAGAAUGUUCAAACUCACCUUCCUGCUCUUACAUUUUACAUUUUAGUCAUUUAGCAGACGCUCUUAUCCAGAGCGACUUACAAAUUGGCUCUUUAUUCAGGUUACAAUUACAUUACACAUUUUAAUAUCCUAGGACUUCAGUUGCAUUACCUUUCCACUUAAAAAUGGAGUACAAGCAAAUUAUAUUUUUUUUUACAGUAGUCGAAGUGAUAUAUUGUACAAAAAAGAAAGUUUAGAUUUUCUUAUCUACUCGUUCCUUGUUGAAGUUUCAUCUUUCUCCAUGGUUAUAAUACAUCAUCCAUGCUCCAAUCAUGAGAUCAAAACUCUUUCUGCAGUGUGUUGGACCUUCAACAACUGACACUGUUCAAAGAAAUGCACCUUUAUGAAUUGAUAAUCAUUUUAUUUUAUUUGCUUUGACUGUCUAUUGUGUUGGUUAAUUUCUUUACAAUAAAAUGAGAGAAACUUAUCACAAGUCAGAGUUGUACUUAAACUAAAUCUUUAUUCACUUAUUAAUAAGGGAGCAGGUCAAUACAACACACACAUAUAAAGUGAAUCGAUUGAGUGCUCGACGAUAAUGAUGGCUGGUCGACGAAUCACCCUCAGACGAUUCAUUUAGAGGUGAAUCACCCUCAGACGAUUCGUUUAGAGGUGAAUCACCCUCAGACGAUUCGUUUAGAGGUGAAUCACCCUCAGACGAUUCGUUUAGAGGUGAAUCACCCUCAGACGAUUCGUUUAGAGGUGAAUCACCCUCAGACGAUUCGUUUAGAGGUGAAUCACCCUCAGAUGAUUCAUUUAGAGCCCCCGAGACAAAAGUACAAAGGUCUUUUACAGCCAAGAUACACCCCUUUCAGUCUACAUGACGAACAACAGAUGUAUGGAAUGGGUCACAAGGUUAAGAUUAGUAUGAAAGAUACUUGUUAUUCACAGCAGACAGUAUCUGCUGUAAAAACAGUACUCAUUGUGUAAAGACCAGGGUCUGGCCCUGAGGUCAUCUCCCCCUGGUACCAUAUAGAACAGAAACAUUAACUCAUGCUAUGGAAUGCGGUCUCUUUAGGUUUUAUCACCCAAAAGACAUCGGAAAUCUCCUGUUAGUGUUAAAUCUCCCAGAGGCCCACUUUCAGUUCACACAGACACAAUAGAGUUAUAAGAACCCUCUAUGCUGUUGCAUAAAACAGCCAUUUGAUGCAAUAAAAGUAUUAUAACAAUCUUGUAAUUUCUCUCACAGUUUUCAUACAGUGUUGGGGGGGUUGUCUCCCUGUCUGCAUGCUGCCGUCUAUCUGUCUGUCUGCCUGCUGCCAUUGGACUGUCUGUCUGCAUGCUGCCGUCUGUCUGUCUGUCUGCCUGCUGCCAUUGGACUGUCUGUCUGCAUGCUGCCGUCUGUCUGUCUGCCUGCCUGCUGCCAUUGGACUGUCUGUCUGCAUGCUGCCGUCUGUCUGUCUGUCUGCCUGCCUGCCUGCUGCCAUUGGACUGUCUGUCUGCCUGCUGCCGUCUGUCUAUCUGUCUGCCUGCCUGCUGCCAUUGGACUGUCUGUCUGCAUGCUGCCGUCUGUCUGUCUGUCUGCCUGCCUGCCUGCUGCCAUUGGACUGUCUGUCUGCAUGCUGCCGUCUGUCUGUCUGCCUGCCUGCCUGCUGCCAUUGGACUGUCUGCCUGCCUGCUGCCGUCUAUCUGUCUGUCUGCCUGCUGCCGUCUAUCUGUCUGUCUGCCUGCUGCCGUUGGACUGAGCCGUAAACAUAAUGACCGCUGGCCGGGGCUGCUGUCAGUCACUCUCUUGCAGGUAGACUCCGUUUUGUUCAAGAAAACUAAAACAAAGUCAAUCUUUAUGGGAAGCUCAGACUUCCUACCCACUCACUCUCACUAAGUGCUGGUUUCCCAGACCUGGUAGGGAGGGCAUCCACUCAUCAUUCAUCCCUGGUCACCAGUGGCAUGGAAAGGGGGUUCUUUAACAAGCAUUAUACAUUAACCUCUACCAAACUAAACAAACAUGUUUGAUUAAAUGCAGAAAGUGGAUGUUUACCCCCCUGUCCUGCUUUUCCAGCGGACUGGUGUGGGACUAUCCUCCGUAGCCUGCUGUGGGCCAGAGGGGACGAUUCAGACAAAAUAAUACAACCAUCCAUGUGAAAAGGGAGGGGCGUAGGAAGGCAGCAGAGCGCUAGGCCGUGGCCUCGAUGGUGCAUUCUUUAGCCAGGUGACCAGACUUUCCACAGUUGUAGCAGUUGACUUCGCUGGCCUUGCUGCACUGGACGGCAACAUGGCCGAUCUCACCACACCUGGUGGGAGACAGAGAGGAGAGAGAGAUGAGGUUUAGCUAAGACAAGAGAGAGUGUUUUCAUUCAUUUGUUAUUCUGCUAUAACGUCUCAUCUUUUGGAAAGGUGAUGUUUAGGCCUGAUACCAACUAAUUUGUACCGGACACAGAAGUCCUGCCUGCUGAUCAACACACACACACACACACACACACACACACACACACACACACACACACACACACACACACACACACACACACACACCUGAUUCUUGAUGUCCAUUUAUAAAGCUGUUCAGGGCUGCCACAACUCAAACAUAUCACAGGGAAGCAGCUUAACGAUACACUGGCCAGUACACCUUGUAACAAAACAAUAUGUUCUCACAGCCCUUCUGGAUGUGUGUUAACUCACCUG
rnacentral:lncRNA from 1 species